rnacentral:rRNA from 1 species
GACAGAGGGUGCGAACGUUGUUCGGAAUUACUGGGCGUAAAGCGUGCGCAGGCGGUUAUGUAAGACAGAUGUGAAAUCCCCGGGCUCAACCUGGGAACUGCAUUUGUGACUGCAUAGCUAGAGUACGGUAGAGGGGGAUGGAAUUCCGCGUGUAGCAGUGAAAUGCGUAGAUAUGCGGAGGAACACCGAUGGCGAAGGCAAUCCCCUGGACCUGUACUGACGCUCAUGCACGAAAGCGUGGGGAGCAAACAGG